rnacentral:rRNA from 1 species
UGGGGAAUAUUGCGCAAUGGGCGAAAGCCUGACGCAGCCACGCCGCGUGGGUGAUGAAGGCCUUCGGGUUGUAAAGCCCUGUCUGGAGGGACGAAUAAUGACGGUACCUCCAAAGAAAGCACCGGCUAACUCCGUGCCAGCAGCCGCGGUAAUACGGAGGGUGCGAGCGUUGCUCGGAAUUAUUGGGCGUAAAGCGUACGCAGGCGGCUAUCCAAGUCGGGUGUGAAAGCCCGGGGCUCAACCCCGGAAAUGCGCCCGAGACUGAAUGGCUUGAGUGCGGGAGAGGGAAGCGGAAUUCCUGGUGUAGAGGUGAAAUUCGUAGAUAUCAGGGGAACACCGGUGGCGAAAGCGGCUUCCUGGCCCGACACUGACGCUCAUGUACGAAAGCGUGGGGAGCAAACAGGAUUAGAUACCCCGGUAGUCCCUGAGCGGGCUGGCAAGGCGCAU